UCAUUUAUCUAUUUUUGCUUUCAUUACCUGUGUUUUUAGUGUCAUAUCCAAUAAAUCAUUGUCAAGUCCAGUGUCAUGAAGCUUUCCCUAUAUGUUUUCUUAUAGGAAUUUUAUAAAUUUAGGUUUUAUGUUUAAGUCAUUAAUAUAUUUUGAGUUAAUGGUGUAAAAUAAAGGCCCAACUUCAUUCUUUUGCAUGUAGAUAUCCAGUUUUUUCAAUAUCAGUUGUUGAAGAGACUGUUUUUCCCCACUGAGUGGUCUUGGCGUCCUUGUCAAAGAUCAUGUUUCUUUAAAUGUGGUCCAUGAACCACCUGAAAUAAUUUUUAGCACAUUCUCCAUUCUAGCUAACUGUACUUUGGGAAGAAAAAGGGGUUUAUGUGGCAAGAAUCUGCAUUAUUAACAAGUUUUCAAGUUAUUCUCAUAUAUACUGUAGUUUGAGAUCUUUAUAUGCACUAAAGCCUUAUAUACU
rnacentral:lncRNA from 1 species